rnacentral:tRNA from 1 species
AUUGGUUUAGUUUAAUUUUUAAAAUAGUGAUUUUGUAAUUCAUUGAUAUUUGUUUUUGUAGCCAAUU